rnacentral:lncRNA from 1 species
UAGCUCCCCUUGGUUGCAAAGAGAAAACGUGUAGUUAAGUAUGCGAGGAGUGAAUCAAUAAGGUUCCACGGUUCAGUACUCUAAUUGAUCAGUUAAUAGCAAUUAUAGACUCUCAUUCAAUUGGAAACAAUAGCAAGGGUAGUAUCUGCCUGACGUCUUUCAUCUAUUAAUUCAGUAGGAAAGAAGUAAGAACCCGACGCAAGUAAAUAGAAACUUCAAUCUAAUAGGGCGUAAGGUGAGGCCACGUUGCUUGCUCCCAUUACCUGAGGAUUUGAUCGCCUCAGGCGAUGAAACAACUUCAACACGCAGUGUUUUAUGGAACACUCGCUAUAUAGGAAUCAGAUGCAGAAGUGGCUCCAAUACUUGAAAUGGUAUUGGAUG